rnacentral:rRNA from 1 species
GACGAACGCUGGCGGCGUGCCUAAUACAUGCAAGUAGAACGCACAGUUUAUACCGUAGCUUGCUACACCAUAGACUGUGAGUUGCGAACGGGUGAGUAACGCGUAGGUAACCUGCCUGGUAGCGGGGGAUAACUAUUGGAAACGAUAGCUAAUACCGCAUAAUAUUGAUUAUUGCAUGAUAAUUGAUUGAAAGAUGCUAUUGCAUCACUACCAGAUGGACCUGCGUUGUAUUAGCUAGUAGGUGAGGUAACGGCCCACCUAGGCGACGAUACAUAGCCGACCUGGGAGGGUGGUCGGCCACACUGGGACUGAGACACGGCCCCGACUCCUACGGGAGGCAGCCGUGGGGGAUCUUCGGCAAUGGACGAAAGUCUGACCGAGCAACGCCGCGUGAGUGGAGAAGGUUUUCGGAUCGUAAAGCUCUGUUGUAAGAGAAGAACGGGUGUGAGAGUGGAAAGUUCACACUGUGACGGUAUCUUACCAGAAAGGGACGGCUAACUACGUG